UACAGAGGGUGCGAGCGUUAAUCGGAAUUACUGGGCGUAAAGGGCGCGUAGGCGGUUAAAUGGGUGUGAUGUGAAAGCCCCGGGCUUAACCCGGGAAGUGCAUCGCAAACUAUGUAACUGGAGUAUAUGAGAGGGUGGCGGAAUUUCCGGUGUAGCGGUGAAAUGCGUAGAGAUCGGAAAGAACGUCAAUGGCGAAGGCAGCCACCUGGCAUAAUACUGACGCUGAGGCGCGAAAGCGUGGGGAGCGAACAGG
rnacentral:rRNA from 1 species